GGGCCCGCACAAGCGGUGGAGUAUGUGGUUUAAUUCGAUGCAACGCGAAGAACCUUACCAGGGUUUGACAUCCUGCGAAUCUCUUGGAAACGAGAGAGUGCCUUCGGGAACGCAGUGACAGGUGGUGCAUGGCUGUCGUCAGCUCGUGUCGUGAGAUGUUGGGUUAAGUCCCGCAACGAGCGCAACCCACGUCGUUAGUUGCCAGCAUUUAGUUGGGCACUCUAGCGAGACCGCCGGUGAUAAACCGGAGGAAGGUGUGGAUGACGUCAAGUCAUCAUGCCCCUUACAUCCUGGGCUACACACGUGCUACAAUGGCCGGUACAGAGAGCAGCCACUACGCGAGUAGGCGCG
rnacentral:rRNA from 1 species